rnacentral:rRNA from 1 species
GUGCCAGCAGCCAUCGGGAUUCCAGCUCUAAUAGCGUAUAUUAAAGUGGACCCUGGGGGGGGGGCUCGUAGUUGAACCUUGGGCCUGGCUGGCCGGUCCGCCUCACCGCGUGCACUGGUCCGGCCGGGCCUUUCCCUCUGUGGAACCCCAUACCCUUCACUGGGCGUGGCGGGGAAACAGGACAUUUACUUUGAAAAAAUUAGAGUGCUCCAGGCAGGCCUAUGCUCGAAUACAUUAGCAUGGAAUAAUAAAAUAGGACGCGCGGUUCUAUUUUGUUGGUUUAUAGGACCGCCGUAAUGAUUAAUAGGGACAGUCGGGGGCAUCAGUAUUCAACUGUCAGAGGUGAAAUUCUUGGAUCAGUUGAAGACUAACUACUGCGAAAGCAUUUGCCAAGGAUGUUUUCAUUAAUCAGGAACGAAAGUUAGGGGGAUCGAAGACGAUCAGAUACCGUCGUAGUCUUAACCAUAAACUAUGCCGACUAGUGAUCGGACGGUGUUAUUCAUGAGCCGUUCGGCACCCUUACGAGAAAUCAAAGUGCUUGGGCUCUAGGGGGGAGUAUGGUCGCAAGGCUGAAACUUUAAGAAAUUUGACGGAAGGGCACCACCAGGCGGUGGGAGCCUCGCGGCUUAAUAUUGAAUCAACACGGGGCAACCCUCCCAGGCCCAGACACAAUAAGGAUUAGACAUAUAGAGAGCUCCUUGCUUGAUCUUGUCGUGGGGUGGACCCCCGUCCUCAGGUGGUGGGGCGGGCUUGGGGGAAUUCUUGCGACUACCCAAACCACACCAUUAAUUGGUCAAAAAGCCCCAGCUCGCUCUCGUAGAUGUUUUGGAG